rnacentral:rRNA from 1 species
CAGCCGCCGCGGUAAUACGUAGGGCGCAAGCGUUAUCCGGAAUUAUUGGGCGUAAAGAGCUCGUAGGCGGUUUGUCGCGUCUGCCGUGAAAGUUCGGGGCUCAACCCCGGAUCUGCGGUGGGUACGGGCAGACUAGAGUGAUGUAGGGGAGACUGGAAUUCCUGGUGUAGCGGUGAAAUGCGCAGAUAUCAGGAGGAACACCGAUGGCGAAGGCAGGUCUCUGGGCAUUAACUGACGCUGAGGAGCGAAAGCAUGGGGAGCGAACAGGAUUAGAUACCCCAGUAGUCCCUGUCUCUUAUAC